rnacentral:rRNA from 1 species
CCCUUAGAUGCUCUGGGCCGCACGCGCGCUACACUGGUCGAUGCAACGAGUUUCUUUCCUUGGCCGACAGGCCUGGGCAAUCUUUGAACAUCGAUCGUGAUCGGGAUAGAUUCUUGUAAUUUUUGAUCUUAAACGAGGAAUUCCUAGUAAGCGCAAGUCAUCAGCUUGCAUUGAUUACGUCCCUGCCCUUUGUACACACCGCCCGUCGCACCUACCGAUUGAAUGGUCCGGUGAAAUCCUCGGAUCGAGCCGUGGGGCAACUCCGGUUCGAGAAGUUGAUUAAACCUUACCAUUUAGAGGAAGGUGAAGUCGUAACA